rnacentral:rRNA from 1 species
GUGUCAGCAGCCGCGGUAAUACGUAGGGGGCGAGCGUUGUCCGAAGUUACUGGGCGUAAAGCGCGCGUAGGCGGGCUGUUAAGUCGGCUGUGAAAGCCCGGAGCUCAACUCCGGAGGGUCGGCCGAUACUAUCAGUCUUGAGGGCGGCAGGGAGAAGUGGAAUGGCUGGUGUAGCGGUGAAAUGCGUAGAUAUCAGUCGGAACACCGGUGGCGAAGGCGGCUUCUUGGGCCGUGUCCUGACGCUGAGGCGCGAAAGCCAGGGGAGCGAACGGGAUUAGAAACCCCGGUAGUCC